rnacentral:rRNA from 1 species
GAUGAACGCUAGCGAUAGGCUUAACACAUGCAAGUCGAGGGGCAGCACAAGGUAGCUUGCUAUCUGGGUGGCGACCGGCGCACGGGUGCGUAACGCGUAUGCAACUUGCCCUAUACAGGAGGAUAACCCGUCGAAAGACGGACUAAUACUGCGUAUGCUCACAACUUGGCAUCAAGUGGUGAGGAAAGAAAUUCGGUAUAGGAUAGGCAUGCGUCCCAUUAGCUUGUUGGUGAGGUAACGGCUCACCAAGGCAACGAUGGGUAGGGGAACUGAGAGGUUGAUCCCCCACACUGGUACUGAGACACGGACCAGACUCCUACGGGAGGCAGCAGUGAGGAAUAUUGGUCAAUGGGCGCGAGCCUGAACCAGCCAAGUCGCGUGAAGGAUGACUGUCUUAUGGAUUGUAAACUUCUUUUAUACGGGAAUAACAAGAGUCACGUGUGACUCCCUGCAUGUACCGUAUGAAUAAGCAUCGGCUAACUCCGUG